AGUUUGAUCCUGGCUCAGGAUUAACGCUAGCGACGUGCCUAAGGUAUGCAAGUCGUACGGUUUGUUUAGUGUAGUAAUACUCUGAGCCAAUAGUGGCAGACGGCUGAGUAACACGUGGGAAUUUCCCCCUAAGACGAGGGAUAGCUCACCGAAAGGGGGGUAAUACUCGAUAGUUCCCGAUUUAUCGGGAUAAAGGCUUUUGGGCUUAGGGAUAGGCUCGGGGCCUAUCAGGUAGUUGGGGGGGUAAAUGCCCACCAAGCCUAUGACGGGUAGCUGGCCUCAGGGGGGUGGUCAGCCAGACUGGAACUGGGAUAGGGUCCAGACUCCUACAGGGGGCAGCAACUAGGAAUUAUGGGCAAUGGACGAAAAUCUGGCGCUGGGACGUCGGGGGGGGGAUGAAGGUCUUAGGAUUGUAAACUCCUUUUAUCAGGGAACAAGUUCUGGGUGUACCUGAUGAAUAAGUGCCUGCUAACCACGUGCCAGAGGAAUCGG
rnacentral:rRNA from 1 species